CUCUUUUUCUGCUUAUUUUCAUUUUAUUCUUUCAUAUUGAUCGUGUUGUAUGUGGCCCAGCAGAUAACUGGGAACUUCAUGGAAGGCUAGGUUAACUUGGCUUUCCUCCGAUUAAAAAAACUCGACGGUGUGAAUUUUGGUUCCCACACCGGACAAAAACGUCGACCCUGCCACAGUCUCCACGAUUAAGGCGGUCAGCACGACUACGACCGCCGAGUAAGAACACUCGCAGCAUAAAACAGAACUACGAGAUGGCUUGAUCCUCGAAAGGGGUAUGUAGGCAGCUCGUCAAAAGACGAGUUCAGCUACCCCCCUCUCUAAAAAGAGGGGGGGGGGGAGUGGGUACGUAUACUCGUAUACUCCCACAUUUUAAAGACUACCAUUGUAAUUGAGAUUUCUAAAACUUUUACUACAAUACACACUUUUCGAGCUCUUAC
rnacentral:lncRNA from 1 species